rnacentral:rRNA from 1 species
GGAGGUCCGAACCCACGAGCGUUGAAAAGCUCGGGGAUGACUUGUGGGUAGCGGUGAAAUUCCAAUCGAGCCCGGAGAUAGCUGGUUCUCCCCGAAAUAGCUUUAGGGCUAGCCUCAAGGUGAGAGAUACGGAGGUAGAGCACUGAAUGUCCUAGGGGGUAUUGCACCUACCGAAGACUAUCAAACUCCGAAUGCCGUCAUCUUAUACUUGGGAGUCAGACUGUGGGUGAUAAGAUUCAUAGUCGAAAGGGCAACAGCCCAGAUCGUCAGCUAAGGUCCCUAAAUGUAAGUUAAGUGGUAAAGGAUGUGGGAUUGCACAGACAACCAGGAUGUUGGCUUAGAAGCAGCCACUCAUUCAAAGAGUGCGUAAUAGCUCACUGGUCGAGUGAUCCUGCGCCGAAGAUUUCCGGGGCUAAAACUUACUACCGAAGCUACGGCAUCAGUAAUGAUGGGUAGGGGAGCUUCCCAUACGGGUUGAAGCAUGACCGUAAGGACAUGUGGACAGUAUGGGAGUGAGAAUGUUGGCAUGAGUAGCGAGAUGUGGGUGAGAAUCCCACAGGCCGUAAACCCAAGGUGUCCAGGGGAAGGUUCGUCCGCCCUGGGUGAGUCGGGACCUAAGCUGAGGCCGAAAGGCGUAGGUGAUGGACAACAGGUUGAUAUUCCUGUACUACCGAUAACCGUUUGAGAGA